GUGGAAGAACUGGAGCAUUGAAUAACUAUUGGACCACUGAAACAACAGCGGAUUACCGGUCAAGUUGUUGAAUUAUUAUUUGCUCAAGGAUUGUUUCUAAUUAUCACCAUUGGAUUCUUUCCAGAAUGGAGGGAAAAGCUUUUAUUAUAAUGUGCAUUUUUAUUGCAACAACGUAUUCAACAACCACUACAACUCUUGCUGAAUCAUCAACUAGUACUGCAGGAGUUACCACAACAGCACAAGAAACUACUGUUACAACAGCUGAAUCCUCCACAACAGCUACAACAACAGCAGUGCCCACAACAACCUCUACAACUCUUGCUGAAUCAUCCACUAGUACUGCAGGAGUAACAACAGCAGCACAAGAAACUACUGUUACAACAACAGAAUCCUCCACAACAGCUACAACUACAGCAGUUCCCUCAACAACCUCUACAACUCUUGCUGAAUCAUCCACUAGUACUGCAGGAGUUACCA